UCGAUCACUGUAACGAGAGUUGUGUAGUAAAAAAGUAACUAGUUAAAAAUAAAGUUAUUUUAAGUUAAUCACUUAUUAAAAUCACUAUUUAAAUUAUUAUUACACUUUGAACAAUAAAUUAUUGAAAUAAUUUAUGGAAGCAAUUUUAAUUAUUCGUAAUUUCAACUAAUUAAUUCGUAUUAAAUUUUGCCCCAUCAUUGUUCAUGUGUCACCGCAUUGUAUCAAGUUCCGGAAUGGGAUAGAAAAAAAGAAUCGUGAAAGUACAUUACAAUAUUCUCGUCGAAAUCGAUUUGAAUCAACAAUUUCCAUAAAACGAAAUUCGUCUUGUCAAACUAUUUCAAAUCAUAGAGGCGAUUUUUCAUCACGGAUUGUUUACGAAAUUCAUCGACGAACAAUACGCUCCGCUGUUUGCCAGAAUUUUUUCAACCGUGCUGCCUUCUCAUUCAAGCAGAGGCCAGAUAAGGAAAAGAGAAUCGAAUCGAACACUCGACACGAUAUCUCAUCGAAGAUCGAAAAUCGAGAAGAAGCACUCGGUUAGAGGGGGAGGGGAGGGGAAAUGGAUCGGGGAGCAGCCAUGUAAAAAGUUACGAAAAAUGGUGGCCGCUCAUGGACGUCCGUGGAUUUCCUUUUAUCGCCCGCUUCCGGUUCCAUCAACGCUGCAACGAUCGAGCGAACGUCCAUUUUUCGCGCAUCCACUUCGAAAAUAUGCGGCCGCCUUAAAGCCGCGUUUUUGAUUCAGAAGGAAAAAGAAAAAAAAAAAAUUAUCGUCGAUGAAUUUCACAUUCGCUAUCUCGUAAUACAACAAUCGAAAAAGAAAAAGAAAUGUAAGAAACGAAAUCUUGGAUAUUAAUUUUUUUGUCUCCGUUAAUUUUGUUAACAUCUUUUCCAUGACAAAAUUAAUGAUCAACAAAAGAAAGAUUUCAA